CCUUCGUCCCUGCAAGGCCCUGGGCCUUCUGAACGCUUCGGAACACCUUGCGUCUGCAUCGGCAUGCAUCCACCACUCCCGGAAAGGGUCUCGGUGACCUCUAAUCUCUCCAGAAAUUCGCCAGAUACAUAAUGUCAGAGUUGAACUCAAGGACAAGGACUCUUAUGCAUCCUCCUCAUCAUGAUGAUCGUCAUCCAGUCGUCUAUUUAUUUUUGAGAGUGCUUGUAAAUUCCAAUGAAACCAGUUGAAGAGAUGAAGUCAUACUCGUUCGUACAACAAAGUAUAAACUCCUUGAAAACCUUUUGUACAAGUGGCUCAAUUUUCAUGGGAAAGUAAGAUAAACUUUGUACCGGAAUAAAUAAUAAAGCUUUCUUCCUCUCGUCUA